rnacentral:rRNA from 1 species
UGCCAGCAGCCGCGGUAAGACGAGCUCUCCAAACGUUAUUCGGUAUCACUGGGCUUAAAGAGUUCGUAGGCGGCUUUACAGGUGGGGUGUGAAAGCCCUCGGCUCAACCGAGGAAUUGCGCCCCAAACCGUAAGGCUUGAGGGAUAUAGGGGUAAGCGGAACAGAUGGUGGAGCGGUGAAAUGCAUUGAUAUCAUCUGGAACACCGGUGGCGAAGGCGGCUUACUGGAUAUUUUCUGACGCUGAGGAACGAAAGCUAGGGUAGCGAACGGGAUUAGAUACCCUGGUAGUCC